rnacentral:lncRNA from 1 species
ACUGGAACUUGAAGACAACUUUGAUCUUGUGCUUAUCAUUCCGCCACCUCACUGGACGGAACAUGUUGAAUUAACUUUCUCUCUCUGGCUCUACCGUCGGUGGAGUACAAUGGCGGUCUAGUCAGCAGAGCUCCAUCGCCAGCUGAAUUAACAUUUGGGCAGAAAUUUCCAAAAAUGGGAAAGAGGCCGUACUCUGGUCCGCUGGAAAUGCAGACAAAAACAGAGUGGAAACAGGAGUAGGGGGGAAACGGUCAAAUAAAUAAUAGGAGAAGAGUUAAAAUAAGAGGGGAGAAUGGAGAAGAAGAUGAGGGAAAUGCUUCAGAGGGACAGAGAGAGAAUGAGCAGAUCUACUGGGCUGUUGUGUUGUGCUGUGCUAUGCUUUUUCUUCUUCUUCUUCUUCUUCUUCUUGUCUCUCGCUUUCACCCUUUUUUGAAUGUGUGUGUGACAGCCUUUCAGUUUCUGGAAGGCGAUGACAAGUAAUGUUUCUCAUUUCUGGUUUUAUUUUUUGUUCCUUAUAUUACGAAAAUUAUUAGGGAAAAUAACGAAUGGUUUUGCAGGUUUAAGGUUUCUUUUUAAAGGAAAAGUAAUUAUGUGUAGGUGGAUGGAUAUUAGUGUAGUAAAUAUAGUUGUUGAGUUGAG